AAUCAGAGUGCUAAGGAUUGAGGGAUUAAGAGGAGGUGAUUGUAUUAUUCCUCUUUUCAGAUAAUGGAGAGAGAGAAGAGAACAGCAGUAGCCGUUGCCAGAAAUAUUGAUUGUUGGUGGCAUAUAUAAUGAGUGCUGGGUGUUAAGGAAGCAAUGGUGAAGGAGAGACACCCUCCCGACCCUCAUGGUGCUUGCAGCCUAGUGGAGCUAUGAAAAGAUAGGCAAGUGAGUCCUAUGAUUGGAGAAGUAAUGAGAAGUAAUGAGAAGCGUCUUCUAAGCAUAGGGGUAAAGACUGCAAAGACCCUGAAGGGAGAAAGUAAUGGCCAUUCUGAGAACUGAAAGUUUGCACAGUGCACAGAGGGCAUGAAGAACGAAGGAAAGGUGAGAUUACAGAGAUGGCAAGUUGCUUAAAACCUAAAGCUCCUUUCAAUUCUUUACAAUCCAAGAUUAUAUGGAAUGGACUGGGAACAAAGAGAGGGACUGGCAUUUAAAGUCUUUUAUACACUUUGGAACAAAUGUUAUUCUCCAUUCAUCCUGACACUAAAUUGGUUAGCCAAACCCAAAGAUCUACUAAUAAUCCUGCUUUGGCAUGGGAGAAUGAGUGAGAUAAGGAGGCAAUAGAGGAGAUGAAUCGACAAAUGGAAGGAAUAGAAUUCUGGUUGAUGUCCUUGUCUCUAAGCUGUAGCAGCAAGUAUUUAUCCUAAAUGUUUCAAUUCAUGCCAUCACAUCUUUGAAAACUGGCAAUUCAACCUUGCCUUGAGCAUUUCCAUGUACAGGAAACACAUGAUCUCUUAAGGAGUCCAUUUCACCGUCAGACGGUUCUGAAGGAUGUGAGUGGUUCUCAACAUUGAAACCAGUGCUGGCUCCUGGUUUGAAUUUCUGUAGCCACUCCAGUCUCGUUCUUGUGCUCACCAUUCCUCCAAAUUGGCCGCCUAUGACUUCUAUGACAAUAAAUCCAAUGGACCCUUGCCAAGCUUAUCAUAUUUUCUCAGCAGCAUUUGACCCAGUUGGCAUUCUUGACUUCUUCAAGGCUCCUUCUGUCCUUGAUUCCCACUAUGUCACUUUCUCCUGGAUGCCUGCCUAUGUCUCUGGGCAUGGCUUCCCCAUCUCCUUUGCCAAUGUAUCUACCUCAAUUCCAAAAACAAUCAUAACCUCCAGAAAUGCUUUGUCCCACACAAAAUAUUUACCUAAAUGUUAAAGUUUUCUUUAGGCUUCCAGUCAGUUUACUCAGGAGUUGAUUUAAAA
rnacentral:lncRNA from 1 species